AUUCCUCUUUGGAAGCUCUGUUUAAGCAUAACAAACUGCAUGUAUGUGCAUCCCAACAGCAUGCCUGUCUGUGGGGAUAGGAACACAGGAUCUUCAGCUCUAAAAAACUAGACUGCUACAGCCUGAGCUAAGGAAGAAUUCUGCUAACUCUCUGAUACCAGAAGCUGGAUGGAAUGGUGUCCUCUGGACCUUUCUUAUAUAGGAUGGGGAAAGAAAGGACUGCCUCAAGCUGAAUUCCAGGUGCCAAAUCUUCUGGGUUUUCAUUCCUGUGGUGGUGGGCUUUUCUUUCAGGCUGGCCACAUGUGGUGUGUGGAUUGCUGGUGCUGUUUGGGAUCUCAUAUCAAAUGCUGCUACCUAAUCCCAGACGGGCCUUGGCGGGCCCACACCUGCAGCUGAUUGAAUCCUCCCGGAGUACAAAGGCCUGAUUUACAGCAUCAAGGAUACAGGGCCUGGUUGCAGCUGGGCUCCAGCAGGAAAAGGAAGUUGUUCAUCAUCUUGUGUGCAUUUCAUUAACAAUAGUGUACCCGAUAUGUAGCUUAUACAAUAAUUUCAAAUCACUGACAGAGAGCAUUAUGGUAUUUGGCAUUACUAGGAAAAAUACUUCAGGAUGGGCAAAUUAAAUGUGAGCGUGAGGUUUUUGUGUGACCCAGAGAAGUUACACAAGCUGAUUUACACUACAUUGGCUAGUCUUGAAAUAUUUCCGUCUUCCUUUAUCUUUGCCCCAUUUCUUUCCCUUUGUCUGUCGAGCAGACUGACAUAGCACAGUGAGCAUUAAUGUAUAGGAAUGAGGGUAAGACACCCAACUCAAAGUUAAAGCCCUUUUUUUCUGGCGCAAGAAUGACAAUGUAGAUAACAUGAUUGUUGUGCUUAACAUAGAAUUUAUAGUAUAGAAAAUUCACAUAGAAAUUAGAUGUGGGAUACCAAUUGCCUGAUCUGGUUGAGAUGCUAAGUGACCUAAAUUCCCGUGAAUUCCAUAGGAGUUGUGGGUGCUCAGCAUCUUACAGGGGGCAUCUGGCACAUGCUACCACUGGGCAGCCUUUCAAUGUAGUCAUUUUUGAAACACUUGUGAGUAACCACUCAAUAACUUGGCUCAACUCAGAGGAGCAAUUUUUAUUUUUGAUGUUGUUUCUCUUAUAGUAUUCAAUUGUAAUCCCCUUUAUUGAGCUGCCUUGCCAUUUUUAAAUGGAAAAUAAACAUUGCCGAACAACCUUUUCAGAACACGAGGUCCUCUUUCCCACUGGAGCCUGAUAAAACUCUACUAUGUGGGCUUGGGGAAACCACUCCUUCAGUCUUUCAUACCCAGAAGGCACAAAGUCUUCAUGUUUUAUUAAACAGCUUCUAGAACUUCGUCCACAGUUUCUCAGAAACAAGCAGUUUGAUGGCUAACUAGUACUAUUUGCACAAAAAUUAUUGCACUUCUAAAAUUACAGACACAAAAAUCAUUCAUUUUUUAAAGCUGAGUUGAAGCCAAUUGAAAAAAAAAAUUCAUCACAUUUUUUAUUUUCUGAGGUUCUAGCAAUCUUCUAGCCGUGAGGUUCUAGCAUGGAUUUGAUGCUACUAGACUAGACAAGACAAGCAAAUGUGAAAAACACAAGACUCCCUUGUUGACUUUAUGGUCAGGAAAUUUUAUUUUGUAUACAUUUCUCAAAAACAAUGGGGAAAAAUAAUUAAAGCAACAUUUUUUUAUUACCUACAGAAUUUUAAAUGCUAUCUACAUGGGGUAGGGCCUACAAUCCAGAUGAUUUCUAGAUUUUACUGAUGAGUCAAAAGUACUGUUGCUUUAAGGAAGACCUAUUUUAACGGUGCAUUUACAAUAUAGCAUAGUAAAAUAGAACAUUUUUGACAUCUUUAAUGUGGAAAAGGAAUGCUUAUAUUUUCUUUACUACUUCUAUAUUUCAUGCUUCCAGUAUUAUAAUUUGUGUAAGUGAACAUAUUGUCCAGUGGAACAAUUCUUUCUAUUUGACUCCUACAUCUUGGCAUUUCCAAAGGCAUCAUUUACCCAGUUGACAAAAGUAGCACCAGUCUCUGCUUUGUGCUGGCAGAGAGAGUUCAUAAACACUUGCCCAACUGCUCUUCCUUGAAGGGUGUCAUUUCUGUAAUUAUGGCAUCAAUUCAUGUGACGUUAGGUUUCCCCUUGCUCCCUUAUUCUGGAUAUCUAACCUUCAUAGCUGUGAACACUACUUUCGGGUAACAUACUGUCUCUGUAGCAUCAGUAAGCUUCAUUAUCUUGCCUUGGUCCCCUGAGAGGGAUGUGUGUGCAAUCUACAAUGCCCAUUUAAUUUUGUGUGGGAUCUGCCUAUCCCUAGGAAGCUAACGUUUUUUGUGUCCUUGUGGGUCAUAUUUUAUGAAGUCCCCUAGGAACUCAGAGAAAAAAGACUAGCUGGUGCAAGUUCUGUCCCUCAUGUGCUUGUGAAAGGAACCAGUGGCAAGGAUGUUCAGUGCAGUGGUACCCUGAAUUGUAUGGAUAUGGUUAUUAACGCUUCCAGGUAAACUGGCACUUCUCUGUCCUGUGCCUCACAAGAAGUUCAUCUGAAGCACACAGACCUUGUAAAGAAAGUAAAAAGGACCUUCUUUUAUGAGCCUCAGCCUCCUUUUCUGUUAUCAUUCCCUGAGUUGUUUCGUGAUAUACAUUACAGGUGCAACAUAGUCAAGUGCAAUCACUAAAAUUCUCACUGUUAUUGUGGCUUGUCCUAGAUACCCAGCCCCAACCCUUUCCACCUGCUCUCAUUUGCUCUCCCAGUUCCUGUCCUGACUCUUCUCCUUCACUGUACUAAUUCUAUAAAUCUGUCCCCUCCCAGAGACAAGUUUCUUUACCCAGCGUGCUGCCUGUUUUCAGGGUUCACUGACAGCAGAGCAACCAACAAGGGACUGACGCUUGAGUACCUUAAGUUAUGACUAAGCCAGGAGGCACCCCUCUGAUCUGUGUAACGUUUGAGCACCUUGAAGCCUCCACUUUUGAAAGUGCUUUUUAGGUUUGCUGGGCCAUGUUCCUGCCUCGCUCUCUGGAAGUGCUCAAGCUACUGGGCUCUCAGAACAUUUGGGAAUGAAUGACUGAACAGCAGCUUUGAAAAUCUCCUCGGGGAUUGAAUUCCGCUUGCUGCCCCAGGUGGGCAUCCAAAUGGCUAUUUGCUGCGGCUCCAAGCUUUUGAAAAUUUGGGCCUAAUGCAGUAAGAAAUAGGAAGAAUGAACAGAGGCUUCCCCAGGUUGGGUUCCCUGACUUCCAUGAAAGGGAUGAACACAGGAGGAAUUGUUCUAUAUUUCUGGAUUCUUGAAAUAUGAAACUAAUUGAGGGCUGGAACAAAUCCAUUCAAAUUGUCUGUAAAAAUAAUUUCCCCUGAAUAGUUAUCCAUCUAGUAUCAUUGCUUAUACAGUUGUAAAAAACAUUUAGCACUUUAUAAUCCAAUCUUUGCUCCUAUGAGGGCCUGGGAACAUAUUCUACUUACAAAAUUUUGAAAUGCCUAGAAAAGUAACAACUUUUACAAAGUGUUCCUCGUGGAAAUCACUUGGAGCCUCUCCAAGAUGGCAUUCCAGAUGUUAUGGCUUUAGCAGUUAUAGAAAUGCACUAUAUUUCCAGAUCCUACACAUAGUAUAUUACUUCUAUGUGAUAGCAUCAUCAUUUUGACCCAGGGAUGAAGUUCUUGAAUUAUUGUUCAUCUCUGGAUAUGGAAGAUGGGGUUUUUGGAAGCAUUCAGUAGUGAUCUAACUCUGCUUCCACUAAAGUCAAUGAAAGACUUAUGCUGACAUUAGUGGGACAGUUAGGCAAAUUCUGUGUGCUUUUGAAAAUCCCACCCAUAGUCUCCGUUCAGUUAUGUAUAGCAUGCGAUUCCCUGUAAUAGGCUGGUCAUGACCUCUCUUUGCACUCUAAUUAUUUAUUAAGGUAUUAACUUAUCUGUAAGUGGUUUAAGGCAUGACCAUUGUCUUUUGUAUGUCUGUAGUGCCAAGACUGUGGUGCUGCAUUCACAAUAUAUUAAUUGUAAAUAAUACAAAAACACCUCAUCAGAACUAUAGUACUGGCACUAAAGAAAACACACAUCAAAAUGGGCCAAAUUCUGCUGUCCUUCCUCUCCUCAGUAAAUUAGUAAUUAUUGGAAUUACUGCCAUGAGUUAAAGUGAUCAAGGUUUGACCCAUUAUAUCAAACACAGUGGGGUCCUGGUCCAUGACUGAGUGCUAUCGCAAUGCAAGUAAUAAAAUAAGUGACACCUAAAACCUGGAUUCAGGGUGAUAUUCACCUCUGUGCAGUAGACCAGCACAAGACCAAUGCAUCACUUAUUUAUUAUUUGUAUUAUUAUAGUGCCUAGGAGCCCUGAUCAUACACCAGGACCCCAUUGUGCUAGUUGCUGUACAAACAGAGAACAAAAAGAUGAUCUGUGGCUCAACGAGUUGCAAUCUAAGUAUCAGACAAGAGACAACAGACAGGUGGAUACAGACAGAUGGGGAAGCACAAAUAAUGCUACUGAUAUGCUGAGGCUUUAAGUGGGAAAUUACUGGUGCAUGAGUCUUGUAUUGGUUAUCUGCAAGAAGGUGAAUUUCACUCUAAGAGCUUAUAUACGAUUUAAAUUGUGCCUAGGGCCUCUGUGAGCCCUCUGAACUUGGGUCUUUUCUUACAAGCUGUGCAUUUUAAAAUAAGACCAAGCACACACAACUGCAAAUAUCUCCCUCAUAAUUCUAUCAAGAGCAAUUCUUUCUUUAAAGAGUCUGCAUGUUGAUUAGCUGGACAAUGAAGGAGGAGAACAGCAAGAGGUUUUUUGGUGCUACGUUACUGUUUUUUUUCUACUUAGUGUAAAAUUCACAAAGAAGCCCACACAAGGCCUCAUGCAAAGCUUAGACUGCAUUUUCCCCUCUCUUUUUAUUUCUAUAAUUUUCCGUUAGGUUUCCAAAAAGCUGAGAACUCUACUUUCAAUCAGCUAUCUGCUGCAGAAUGUCUCAUCUUUCAGUGCUGCGUUUUGAAAAAAGAAAAAGAGAGAGAAAAAGAGAGAGAGAGAAUGAAAAAAAAAUCUAAAGAGGAAAUUAUUGCUUUUCAAACACUCUUUUAUGGAGGGUAAUGCCUCUUCUAAUGGGAGCGCUGGGUUGAAUUAUUCAGAAUUUGCUGAUGCUCUAUCAUUUGUUUUUUCUAGGAAGAGGGAGCCAUUGAGAGGAGUAGAAAAUUUCCAUGGGAUUGUUGAUGGUAAAAUACCAUCAUUUGAAGAUCUUUCGUCUCAAGUAGGGUUCUGAUCGUUCUUUGUGCACACUUGAUGGAUUGAACUGGCCCUCCCUGGAUUUGAUGUACUUGAGCUGAACUCCUAGGAGCUCCUGACUGACUGAAAUAUAAAACCAAGAGCCUGACCACUCCGUGGUCAUUAAAGAUCUCAAGACACUUUUCAGAGCAUCGGGGCAUUAACUACAGCUUUUGAUUUCUCUAAUCAGUUUGUUUGAAUUAAAGCUCAGUUCUCAUCUAUAGGGAGCAGAAACAACUUUCUUAACUGGAUGGCUUCUUUACACCACAACCAUGCAAUGCAUGUGUGAGAGUCCUUGACUGGGACCAUAUUUGUGCCUUUUAUCAGGAACUAUACCCGUUUAUUAAACUAUUUUAAAGUACCUUUGGGUACGUGAAUGUUAUUCAGAGCGAAGUCUUCUUUAUCUUGAACAUUGGCAUUUGGUCAUAGAAGUAAGGAAACCACAGCUCUUAGCAGAGUCUUCUACUAAUGGAGAU